GACGAACGCUGGCGGCGUGCCUAAUACAUGCAAGUCGAGCGGAUCUUUGAGAGCUUGCUCUCAAAGAUUAGCGGCGGACGGGUGAGUAACACGUAGGUAACCUGCCUGUAAGAUUGGGAUAACUCCGGGAAACCGGAGCUAAUACCGGAUAACAUUUUGAACCGCAUGGUUCGAAAUUGAAAGGUGGCUUUUGCUACCACUUACAGAUGGACCCGCGGCGCAUUAGCUAGUUGGUGAGGUAAUGGCUCACCAAGGCAACGAUGCGUAGCCGACCUGAGAGGGUGAUCGGCCACACUGGGACUGAGACACGGCCCAG
rnacentral:rRNA from 1 species